UACGUAGGGGGCAAGCGUUGUCCGGAAUCAUUGGGCGUAAAGCGCGUGUAGGCGGCCCGGUAAGUCCGCUGUGAAAGUCGGGGGCUCAACCCUCGGAUGCCGGUGGAUACUGUCGGGCUAGAGUGCGGGAGAGGCGAGUGGAAUUCCUGGUGUAGCGGUGAAAUGCGUAGAUAUCUGGAGGAACACCGGUGGCGAAGGCGGCAUCCUGGACCGGCAUUGACGCUGAGGCGCGAAAGCCAGGGGAGCAAACGGG
rnacentral:rRNA from 1 species